CCUACGGGAGGCAGCAGUAGGGAAUAUUGGGCAAUGGGCGAAAGCCUGACCCAGCGACGCCGCGUGAGGGAUGAAGGUCUUCGGAUUGUAAACCUCUUUCAGUAGGGAAGAAGCGAAAGUGACGGUACCUAAAGAAGAAGCACCGGCUAACUAUGUGCCAGCAGCCGCGGUAAUACAUAGGGUGCAAGCGUUGUCCGGAAUUAUUGGGCGUAAAGAGCUCGUAGGUCGUUUGUCGCGUCGAUUGUGAAAAUCUGAGGCUCAACCUCAGACCUGCAGUCGAUACGGGCAAACUAGAGUGUGGUAGGGGAGACUGGAAUUCCUGGUGUAGCGGUGGAAUGCGCAGAUAUCAGGAGGAACACCAAUGGCGAAGGCAGGUCUCUGGGCCAUAACUGACACUGAGGAGCGAAAGUGCGGGGAGCGAACAGGAUUAGAUACCCUGGUAGUCCGCACCGUAAACGGUGGGCACUAGUUGUGGGAACCUUCCACGGUUUCCGCGACGCAGCAAACGCAUUAAGUGCCCCGCCUGGGGAGUACGAUCGCAAGAUUAAAACUCAAAUGAAUUGACGA
rnacentral:rRNA from 1 species